GACGAACGCUGGCGGCGUGCCUAAUACAUGCAAGUAGAACGCACAGUUCAUACCGUCGCUUGCUACACCAUAGACUGUGAGGUGCGAACGGGUGAGUAACGCGUAGGUAACCUGCCUGGUAGCGUGGGAUAACUAUAGGAAACGAUAGCUAAUACUGCAUAAUAUUAAUUAUUGCAUGAUAAUUAAUUGAAAUGGGCAAUGUCAACACUACCAGAGGGCACUGCGUUUUAUUAGCUAUUAGGUGGGGUAACGGCUCACCUAGAUGAGGAUACGUAGCCGACCUGGGAGGGGAAUCGCCCACACUGGGACUGAGACACGGCCCAGACUCCUGCGGGAGGCAGCCGUAGGGAAUCUCCGGGAAUGGACGAAAGUCUGACCGAGCAACGCUGCGUGAGUGAAGAAGGUUGUCGGGUCGUAAAACUCUGUUAUACGAGAAGAACGUGUGUGACAGUGGAAAGUUCACACUGUGACGGUAUCUUACCAGAAAGGUACGGCUAACUACGUG
rnacentral:rRNA from 1 species